GGGGGGGGGGAAGGACACAGGCAAAGGGGGAGGGGUUCUGGGAUUUCUGGCACAGACCACCUCUUUUUGUGUCCCCCAUCCCCGCCGGGGUGCCCUCAGUUGGGCGGUCAGCAGUGGCAGACCUGGCCUGGAGGCAACUGGGGACACCCUGGGGGGGGGAGCGCUGGGGACCUCACCGGGGGCCUCUCUGAGACCAGAAUCCUUUGGGGUCCAUCUCUAGAGCUUCCCAGGGAUCCCCCUCCCUCCCACCACCCCAGAACUGGCAGAAAGGAAGAGGACCAUCCGGUCAGAAACCAGCUAAGUGGUCUCGAGGAACUGUUCCGGCACCCAUCGGGUGGGAUAGCACCAAGGAUCCGGAUGGAGGAAGAGGCCUGGAAACCCACACGGCCCAACAGCAAGUUUUCUAGCAGUUGGAGAUGAAAAUGUCGCCCCGAAGCCCAAGCUCAAGGACGCGUGGCCCCCUCUCCUCGUCACCCUGAACCUCCAAUCCUGUUUCCACUUGGGGAGUCACCUGGUCUUCAAGUGCCCCCUGAGGCACAUCAGCCUUUCAAUAAAGCCUUUAACCUCUGUUUGA